rnacentral:rRNA from 1 species
AUUGAACGCUGGCGGCAGGCUUAACACAUGCAAGUCGAGCGGAGAUGAGGUGCUUGCACCUUAUCUUAGCGGCGGACGGGUGAGUAAUGCUUAGGAAUCUGCCUAUUAGUGGGGGACAACAUUCCGAAAGGAAUGCUAAUACCGCAUACGCCCUACGGGGGAAAGCAGGGGAUCUUCGGACCUUGCGCUAAUAGAUGAGCCUAAGUCGGAUUAGCUAGUUGGUGGGGUAAAGGCCUACCAAGGCGACGAUCUGUAGCGGGUCUGAGAGGAUGAUCCGCCACACUGGGACUGAGACACGGCCCAGACUCCUACGGGAGGUAGCAGUGGGGAAUAUUGGACAAUGGGCGGAAGCCUGAUCCAACCAUGCCGCGUGUGUGAAGAAGGCCUUUUGGUUGUAAAGCACUUUAAGCGAGGAGGAGGCUACCUGGAUUAAUACUCUAGGAUAGUGGACGUUACUCGCAGAAUAAGCACCGGCUAACUCUGUGCCAGCCGCCGCAGUAAUAC